CUUCCCAUUUCUUCUUGAGUUCGAAACCUACGGGAGUGCGUCGGUACUUCUCCACCGUGAUCUAGGGUUUGGAUUAGGUUUUGCUUUUGCGUAUUUUUGUUCGAUCAAGGCGGGAACGGAACAGAGAUGCCGUAGCGGCACUCGAAGAACAACAAUUACCUUGCAUUCUUCACCCACGAGGAGAAGCUCAAGCUCGGAUGCGGCACGCAGCGGGAGCGGCUCGGCAGGGACUCGAUCAGGCCCUUUGACCCUUGUUGCCUCUGCCUCAAGCACCUCAUCCACCCUCUUUUCUGCCAGAAGGGGCACCUCUUGUGCAAGGAGUGUAUCCUUGAGUGCCUCCUUACCCAGAAGAAGGACAUCGAGAGGCGGAUUGCGGAAACCAGCCACCAAAACUUGAAGAUGAGAAGGGAAUUGCAUCAUGAUAUUUCUCAUGAGAUUAUUACCAGUGCAGUUAAUUUUCGUGUCUGGAAUCUUGAUCAUAUAGAUUACAAGUCUCAUAAGUCGAGUGGCAGCAUCGACCAGCAAAUCAAAGCCAAUGCAUUGGGCUCCCGUCAAUAUUGGAUAAACAACAACACAAUUUUAUCUGGAGCAAUCUCUUCACACUAAGAACAUCAAGAAAAGCAAGGCAUAUAUACAUGCAACAUACACAUAUGAUGAUGAUGAUGUUCUAGAGACGAGACAAACAAAUAAGGAAGAGGUUUCCUCGAAGAUAAGCAGCAUUCAGG